rnacentral:rRNA from 1 species
GACGAACGCUGGCGGCGUGCCUAAUACAUGCAAGUUGAGCGCUGAAGGUUGGUACUUGUACCAACUGGAUGAGCAGCGAACGGGUGAGUAACGCGUGGGGAAUCUGCCUUUGAGCGGGGGACAACAUUUGGAAACGAAUGCUAAUACCGCAUAAAAACUUUAAACACAAGUUUUAAGUUUGAAAGAUGCAAUUGCAUCACUCAAAGAUGAUCCCGCGUUGUAUUAGCUAGUUGGUGAGGUAAAGGCUCACCAAGGCGAUGAUACAUAGCCGACCUGAGAGGGUGAUCGGCCACAUUGGGACUGAGACACGGCCCAAACUCCUACGGGAGGCAGCAGUAGGGAAUCUUCGGCAAUGGACGAAAGUCUGACCGAGCAACGCCGCGGGAGUGAAGAAGGGUUUCGGAUCGUAAAACUCUGUUGGUAGAGAAGAACGCUGGUGGGAGUGGAAAGCUCAUCAAGUGACGGUAACUACCCAGAAAGGGACGGCUAACUACGUG